rnacentral:lncRNA from 1 species
AUGCAUUUCCUACAACAUCCCACUGGGUCAGCUGUUAGCUUUGACCUUGACAUCAUUUUAAUGUCGCCUCUCAGAUUGUCAGUAAUUCUGUCCGUAGAAGACAGUCAGCCUCCCUCCACAAAGGCACCGGACACAGGAGAAGAGAUUGAAGUGACACUUCCUGUCCUGAGCCUGGCGCCCUGUGACUGUGGAUUGGCAAAGACAUUUCCUAAGUCUGUACAGUCUGUGCAGUUUUAUUACAUAGACGCGUUUAUUUUGUCGUCCUCGGCCUUGAGUUUCAGCUGCUCGAGCAUCACAUCGACACCAGCAAAGGCGCCGCAUGAAGGCAGUCAUCUCCUCUCGGGCCUGUCCUGUCUGGACUCGGGGUGCCGCAUUUCAACAAGGAGUUAUGUGUAUAAACAGAAGAGCAGGUGCACGCCUGUUUUCAGGAUCCCCAUGACAGAUGCAGCAGAUUACUAGCUUAUCAGCA